rnacentral:rRNA from 1 species
AGAGUUUGAUCCUGGCUCAGGACGAACGCUGGCGGCGUGCUUAACACAUGCAAGUCGAGCGAGGUCCAUCCAGUCGCAAGACUGGGGAAGACCUAGCGGCGAACGGGUGAGUAACACGUGAGCAACCUGCCCCGAAGACUGGGAUAACACCGGGAAACCGGUGCUAAUACCGGAUGUCCUCCUCUGAUCGCAUGGUCUAAGGAGGAAAGGAAUUUUGCUUCGGGAGGGGCUCGCGGGCUAUCAGCUUGUUGGUGAGGUAACGGCUCACCAAGGCGACGACGGCUAGCUGGUCUGAGAGGACGACCAGCCACACUGGGACUGAGACACGGCCCAGACUCCUACGGGAGGCAGCAGUGGGGAAUCUUGCGCAAUGGGCGAAAGCCUGACGCAGCAACGCCGCGUGGGGGAUGAAUGCCUUCGGGUUGUAAACCCCUUUCAGCAGGGACGAAAAUGACGGUACCUGCAGAAGAAGCCCCGGCCAACUACGUGCCAGCAGCCGCGGUAAUACGUAGGGGGCGAGCGUUGUCCGGAUUUAUUGGGCGUAAAGAGCUCGUAGGCGGCUUGGCAAGUCGGGUGUGAAACCUCCAGGCUCAACCUGGAGACGCCACUCGAUACUGCUAUGGCUAGAGUCCGGUAGGGGACCACGGAAUUCCUGGUGUAGCGGUGAAAUGCGCAGAUAUCAGGAGGAACACCGGUGGCGAAGGCGGUGGUCUGGGCCGGAACUGACGCUGAGGAGCGAAAGCGUGGGUAGCAAACAGGAUUAGAUACCCCCGUAGUCC